rnacentral:tRNA from 1 species
UCCCUGGUGGUUCAGACAGUAAAGCAUCUGCCUGUAAUGCGGGAGACCCGGGUUCGAUUCCUGGGUGGGGAA